GCACUGGGUCACGGGGGAACGAU
rnacentral:piRNA from 1 species